GCGGGGUACUGAGUUGGUACUGGAUAGUAGGUGGGGUACUGGAGAGUAGGUGGGGUACUGAGUUGGUACUGGAUAGUAGGUGGGGUACUGAGUUGGUACUGGAUAGUAGGUGGGGUACUGAGUUGGUACUGGAUAGUAGGCGGGGUACUGAGUUGGUACUGGAUAGUAGGUGGGGUACUGGAGAGUAGGUGGGGUACUGAGUUGGUACUGGAUAGUAGGUGGGGUACUGAGUUGGUACUGGAUAGUAGGUGGGGUACUGAGUUGGUACUGGAUAGUAGGCGGGGUACUGAGUUGGUACUGGAUAGUAGGUGGGGUACUGGAGAGUAGGUGGGGUACUUAGUUGGUACUGGAUAGUAGGUGGGGUACUGAGUUGGUACUGGGUAGUAGGUGGGGUACUGAGUUGGUACUGGAUAGUAGGUGGGGUACUGGGUAGUAGGUGGGGUACUGAGUUGGUACUGGGUAGUAGGUGGGGUCCUGAGUUGGUACUGGAUAGUAGGUGGGGUACUGAGUUGGUACUGGACAGUAGGUGGGGUACUGGAUAGUAG
ensembl:lncRNA